AUCACUUCUUGGCCUUUUGGCUAAGAUCAAGUGUAGUAUCUGUUCUUAUCAGCUUAAUAUCUGAUAUGUGCUCUGAGGACAAUAUAUUAAGUUGGAUUUUUGGAACAGGGAGAUGGAAUAGGAGCUUGCUCCUUCCACUCCACGUAUCGACCUGGUAUUGCAGUACUUCUAGGAAGUAGAAGUAGU
ensembl:snRNA U2 U2 spliceosomal RNA